rnacentral:lncRNA from 1 species
CCACCUCUUAAUGGAUGGAAGUGAUCAAGUUCUAGGAGAAAGACUAAGAACCGGGCCAGAGAAUCUCCACCCUUCCUGCUCUUUCAUCCCCUGAUCCCCCAUCACAUCCUCCUUCUAUUUCCUUGCAUAUAUUCCCACACCACGAUGACUUCGUCAGGGUCCCCUGAGGAAGGGGACAUUUGGACAUACAAAGAGACACUAUUUGUGGAUGUGCACUCACAGAGAAGAUGCCAUGUGAGGACAUGGUGAGGAGGUGGCCAUCUAAUCAACAAGCCAAGAAGAGAAGCCUCAGAAGAAACUAAGCCUGCCAAUGCCUUGACGUUGAACUUCAGAACUAUGUAGCCUUCAGAACUAUGAGGACAAGAACCUGCAUGUCCCCCAUCAGAGCUACUGCUUAAACUGUGUCCCAGAACUGAAAGCUAGGUGUGCCACAGCAGUUAACUUGUAGUUGCCAACAUAUACCAAGAGAAAAAAUGCUAGUUAUUGCAAGACACACACGCAAAGUAGAGAUGUGCGCAAUAAACUUUUUGUCUGAGUGCCAAAGAGCCAAGAGUAAAAAUCAGUAUCGGACCAUAGCCUAACUAGAACUGAAUCACCGUCACGGAAGGAACCUCUGGAAUACAGAAAUGAAUCUAAAAUUUUAUUGAAAUUUAUUAUUGUCAUUAUUAUUAUUUGAUUAUUAAAAUUGUAGUGGUGGUCAACUUUUACAGGUUUGACAUUAUACUACAGGAACAAUGAUUUCUCAGCCCUGUCAGACUGCCUGACUGAGCCCACGGUUGCUGAACUGCACUUCAACAAUACAACAUAGAAGCUUACUCUCAUUGCCUUGGUUAGGGGAGCAAUUUGGCUGGCUCUGCAGUACAGAGCGCUACGAACACUAAGAUAUCACAAAGUUAUUAAGUCUUUCUUCCUCUCCAUCAUAACCAAAACAAAGCCUCCAUAGACUCAAGACAAUGAAGAAUUUCCUUCUAAAGGCAUUCUUGUAAAGCCUGUCGUUUUGAAGUUUGAGUUGAGUGAACAAAAUAAGCUUUGGAGGAUACUUCUCCAAAUUAUAGAGAAGCACCUCUGCCACUUGAAGGUUUCAAAGAUUAGUCUUGUUCUCCAUUGUUUUGUUAGACAUAUUCACGGCAAAUAAGGAGGCUUUUCUGAGUGUGUGCAAUAGUAGCUCAGAAGAGCUCAGAGAAGGGAGAA